rnacentral:rRNA from 1 species
UGGGGAAUAUUGGACAAUGGGCGGAAGCCUGAUCCAGCCAUGCCGCGUGUGUGAAGAAGGCCUUUCGGUUGUAAAGCACUUUAAGCGAGGAGGAGGCUACUUGGAUUAAUACUCUAGGAUAGUGGACGUUACUCGCAGAAUAAGCACCGGCUAACUCUGUGCCAGCAGCCGCGGUAAUACAGAGGGUGCGAGCGUUAAUCGGAUUUACUGGGCGUAAAGCGUGCGUAGGCGGCUUCUUAAGUCGGAUGUGAAAUCCCUGAGCUUAACUUAGGAAUUGCAUUCGAUACUGGGAAGCUAGAGUAUGGGAGAGGAUGGUAGAAUUCCACGUGUAGCGGUGAAAUGCGUAGAGAUCUGGAGGAAUACCGAUGGCGAAGGCAGCCAUCUGGCCUAAUACUGACGCUGUGCUACGUAAGCAUGGGGAGCAAACAGG